rnacentral:rRNA from 1 species
AAUGAACGCUGGCGGCGCGCCUAAUACAUGCAAGUCGAGCGAGAAGACGUAGCAAUACGUUUGUAAAGCGGCGAACGGGUGAGGAAUACAUGGGUAACCUACCCUCGAGUGGGGAAUAACUAGCCGAAAGGUUAGCUAAUACCGCGUACGCUUCUUGGACUUCGGUUCAGGGAGGAAAGCGAUACCGUGGGUAUCGCGCUCUUGGAUGGGCUCAUGUCCUAUCAGCUUGUUGGGAGGUAACGGCUCACCAAGGCUUCGACGGGUAGCUGGUCUGAGAGGACGAUCAGCCACACUGGCACUGCGACACGGGCCAGACUCCUACGGGAGGCAGCAGUAAGGAAUAUUGCGCAAUGGGCGAAAGCCUGACGCAGCGACGCCGCGUGGGGGAUGAAGGUCUUCGGAUUGUAAACCCCUUUCGGGAGGGAA